rnacentral:rRNA from 1 species
CCCAACUGAUUGAUGGUGCUUGCACCUGAUUGACUAUGGAUCACCAGUGAGUGGCGGACGGGUGAGUAACACGUAGGUGACCUGCCCCGGAGCGGGGGAUAACAUUUGGAAACAGAUGCUAAUACCGCAUAACAACGAAAGCCACAUGGCUUUUGUUUGAAAGAUGGCUUUGGCUAUCACUCUGGGAUGGACCUGCGGUGCAUUAGCUAGUUGGUAAGGUAACGGCUUACCAAGGCGAUGAUGCAUAGCCGAGUUGAGAGACUGAUCGGCCACAAUGGAACUGAGACACGGUCCAUACUCCUACGGGAGGCAGCAGUAGGGAAUCUUCCACAAUGGGCGCAAGCCUGAUGGAGCAACACCGCGUGAGUGAAGAAGGGUUUCGGCUCGUAAAGCUCUGUUGUUGGAGAAGAACGUGCGUGAGAGUAACUGUUCACGCAGUGACGGUAUCCAACCAGAAAGUCACGGCUAACUACGUGCCAGCAGCCGCGGUAAUACGUAGGUGGCAAGCGUUAUCCGGAUUUAUUGGGCGUAAAGCGAGCGCAGGCGGUUGCUUAGGUCUGAUGUGAAAGCCUUCGGCUUAACCGAAGAAGUGCAUCGGAAACCGGGCGACUUGAGUGCAGAAGAGGACAGUGGAACUCCAUGUGUAGCGGUGGAAUGCGUAGAUAUAUGGAAGAACACCAGUGGCGAAGGCGGCUGUCUGGUCUGCAACUGACGCUGAGGCUCGAAAGCAUGGGUAGCGAACAGGAUUAGAUACCCUGGUAGUCCAUGCC